UACGUAGGGGGCAAGCGUUGUCCGGAUUUAUUGGGCGUAAAGAGCGUGUAGGCGGUCAGGUAGGUCCGUUGUGAAAACUCGAGGCUCAACCUCGAGACGCCGAUGGAAACCAUCUGACUAGAGUCCGGAAGAGGAGAGUGGAAUUCCUGGUGUAGCGGUGAAAUGCGCAGACAUCAGGAAGAACACCCGUGGCUAAGGCGGCUCUCUAGUACGGUACUGACGCUGAGACGCGAAAGCGUGGGGAGCGAACAGG
rnacentral:rRNA from 1 species